UACGUAGGGGGCAAGCGUUGUCCGGAUUUAUUGGGCGUAAAGAGCGUGUAGGCGGCCAGGUAGGUCCGUUGUGAAAACUCGAGGCUCAACCUCGAGACGCCGAUGGAAACCAUCUGGCUAGAGUCCGGAAGAGGAGAGUGGAAUUCCUGGUGUAGCGGUGGAAUGCGCAGAUAUCAGGAGGAACACCGGUGGCGAAGGCGGGAUCCUGGGCCAGUACUGACGCUGAGGAGCGAAAGCGUGGGGAGCAAACAGG
rnacentral:rRNA from 1 species